UUUUACAAAACAUGGCCUUUUGAUAUAUAUAAUUAAUAUAAGGUUUGGCCUGCCCAAUGAUUACUAUUUAAUGGCCGCAGUAUCCUGACUGUGCGAAGGUAGCAUAAUCAUUUGUCCUUUAAUUGGGGACUUGUAUGAAUGGUCGGAUGAGGGAUAUACUUUCUUUAUUCUAUAAACAGUAAUUUAAUCUGUAAGUUAAAAAGCUUAUAUUAUCUUAAGUGACGAGAAGACCCUAUAGAACUUUACUAUUAAUAAUAACUAUACAAUUUAUAUUAUUAUAUGGGUAAUUGUUAUCAAUAGUUUUGUUGGGGUGACAGUUAAAUUUAAUUAACUUUAACUUAAUUUUACUCAUUAAUUUAUGAUUAGUUUGAUCCAUUAUUAUUGAUUAUAAGAAUAAGUUACCUUAGGGAUAACAGCGUAAUUCUGUUGGAGAGUUCAUAUUAAUAACAGAGUUUGCGACCUCGAUGUUGGAUUAAAGUAAGUGUUAAGUGCAUAAGCUUAAUAACUAAGUCUGUUCGACUUUUAAUAUUUUACAUGACGGGUUUUUC
rnacentral:rRNA from 1 species